GACGAACGCUGGCGGCGUGCUUAACACAUGCAAGUCGAACGCUGAAGCCCAGCUUGCUGGGUGGAUGAGUGGCGAACGGGUGAGUAACACGUGAGUAACCUGCCCCCUUCUUUGGGAUAACGCCCGGAAACGGGUGCUAAUACUGGAUAUUCACUGAUCUUCGCAUGGGGGUUGGUGGAAAGGUUUUUUCUGGUGGGGGAUGGGCUCGCGGCCUAUCAGCUUGUUGGUGGGGUGAUGGCCUACCAAGGCUUUGACGGGUAGCCGGCCUGAGAGGGUGACCGGUCACAUUGGGACUGAGAUACGGCCCAGACUCCUACGGGAGGCAGCAGUGGGGAAUAUUGCACAAUGGGCGAAAGCCUGAUGCAGCGACGCCGCGUGAGGGAUGACGGCCUUCGGGUUGUAAACCUCUUUCGCUCAUGGUCAAGCCGCAACAGUGGUUGUGGUGAGGGUAGUGGGUAAAGAAGCGCCGGCUAACUACGUGCCAGCAGCCGCGGUAAUACGUANGGCGCGAGCGUUGUCCGGAAUUAUUGGGUUUAAAGGGAGCGUAGGCGGAUUGUUAAGUCAGCGGUUAAAGGGUGUGGCUCAACCAUGCAUUGCCGUUUGAAACUGGCGAUCUUGAGUGCANACAGGGAUGCCGGAAUUUNGUGGUGUAGCGNUGAANUG
rnacentral:rRNA from 1 species